AAAAGGGUUUCAAGGGUAACGGCAGCUUUGACAAUUCAUCAGAGCGAACAGGAGGCUCAAAAGGAAGCGCAAAAGGAAGCUUUGGAAGCGCAGCAGGUCGACUCAAGGGCACAUCACACCAUGGAGGUUUGGAAAUCCAGAUCCUCAAGGACCAUCGUCAAGGACCCGAUGAAGAAGGAAAUUAUGAUUUUAAUUUUGAAAAUGAAAAUGGUAUCAUUCGCCAGGAACAAGGUAUCGCAAAGGGAGAGUCUGGCGCUGUAACGCAACAAGGGGGAUGGUCAUUUUCUUUCCCCGAUGGUACUUCAGCAUCAUUCAAUUUCGUUGCUGACGAAAAAGGAUUUCGAGUCGAGUCUGACUUACUGCCAACUCCCCAUCCCCUGCCCGCCCACGCCAUCGCUCAGAUCGAAAGAGCUCGUCAACAAACUGCCUCUCCCCCACAAGCGCUGCGUCCCGAUGAACCUAAAAUCUCUUCCCAGACCCCCAGCAGAACCUAUGGCUAUCCUUAGCUUGUACUGCCCAUAGCUUCAGUCUGAUCUCACACGUUUUCAUCAAUUACCGUCUUCUUUUGAUAUUUCCCAGUCAGCGUUAACCUGGGGCUUGCAAUAGCUCUGGCAUUUAAAGCAAUCAAAACUAUU